rnacentral:rRNA from 1 species
CCGCGGCGCAUUAGCUAGUUGGUGAGGUAAUGGCUCACCAAGGCAACGAUGCGUAGCCGACCUGAGAGGGUGAUCGGCCACAAAGGGACUGAGACACGGCCCAGACUCCUACGGGAGGCAGCAGUAGGGAAUCUUCCGCAAUGGACGAAAGUCUGACGGAGCAACGCCGCGUGAGUGAUGAAGGUUAAAGGAUCGUAAAGCUCUGUUGUUAGGGAAGAACGGGUGCCGUACGAAUAGGGCGGUACCUUGACGGUACCUAACCAGAAAGCCACGGCUAACUACGUGCCAGCAGCCGCGGUAAUACGUAGGUGGCAAGCGUUGUCCGGAAUUAUUGGGCGUAAAGGGCUCGCAGGCGGUUUCUUAAGUCUGAUGUGAAAGCCCCCGGCUCAACCGGGGAGGGUCAUUGGAAACUGGGGAACAUGAGUGCAGAAGAGGAGAGUGGAAUUCCACGUGUAGCGGUGAAAUGAAGUAGAGAUGUGGAGGAACACCAGUGGCGAAGGCGACUCUCUGGUCUGUAACUGAC